rnacentral:snRNA from 1 species
GUGCUCACUUCAACAGCACAUAUAAAAAGAUGAGAACAAGACGGAGAAGAUUAGCAUGGUCCUAUCCAAGGAUGGCUUACACUUCUGUAAGGAAGUUCCUCUUAGU